rnacentral:rRNA from 1 species
UGCCAGCCGCCGCGGUAAUACGUAGGUGGCAAGCGUUGUCCGGAUUUACUGGGCGUAAAGGAUGCGUAGGCGGACAUUUAAGUCAGAUGUGAAAUACCCGAGCUUAACUUGGGUGCUGCAUUUGAAACUGGGUGUCUAGAGUGCAGGAGAGGUAAGUGGAAUUCCUAGUGUAGCGGUGAAAUGCGUAGAGAUUAGGAAGAACACCAGUGGCGAAGGCGACUUACUGGACUGUAACUGACGCUGAGGCAUGAAAGCGUGGGGAGCAAACAGGAUUAGAUA